rnacentral:rRNA from 1 species
UAUUUGCUAAGGUUUCUCCCNUUCGGGGCGAGAUCACAGGACUAUAGGGAGACCCGCUGNCGAGAAGUCAGAGGAAGGUGAGGGCAACGGUAGGUCAGUAUGCUCCGAAUGCACUGGGCUACACGCGCAAUACAAAGGACGGGACAAUGGGCCGCUGCUCCGAGAGGAAAGAUGGCUAUCCCGAAACCCGUUCGUAGUUCGGAUUGAGGGCUGUAACUCGCCCUCAUGAAGCUGGAUUAGGUAGUAAUCGCGUCUCAAAAAGGCGCGGUGAAUAUGCCCCUGCUCCUUGCACACACCGCCCGUCAAACCAUCUUAGUUGGGGGUGGGUGAGGCUGCCUUUUAGUGGGGUAUUCGAGCCUGCCUUCGACAAGGAGGGUUAAGUCGUAACAAGGUA